rnacentral:rRNA from 1 species
AAACAAGGAUUUGAUACCCUUUUAUUAAUGCUGUUUAUAAUGCCGCGAGGACUACGAACGGUUGGGUAUGUUUAAAAUUUAAAAGGGUUGGCGGUGUUUCAUAUCCAUUUAGGGAAACUUGACGGUUAAACCGAUGAACCUCGUGUACUUUACUCUUAGUUUACUUUUCAUACCGCCGUUGUUAGUUUUUUUUUAGGGAGGUUAGGUAGAAGCAUAAAAUGUUUUUGUUGGACAUUGUAAUUCAGGUAGACGUGUUGGAAUCUAGGAGGCUUAGUUGAGUUAUGAUGAUUUAAGUUACGGAUCUGUAGUGUUGAAAUAUUAUUAGAGAAGAAGUACUUUAUAGUAAAAUUUUUGGAGAGAGGAAAUUUGAAUAGUGUAAUUGAAAUGCGUACAAAUCGCCCGGCGCUCGUCUAUAACC